UACGUAGGGCGCAAGCGUUUGUCCGGAAUUAUUGGGCGUAAAGAGCUCGUAGGCGGUUUGUCGCGUCUGCUGUGAAAACCUAAGGCUCAACCUUGGGCUUGCAGUGGGUACGGGCAGACUAGAGUGCGGUAGGGGUGACUGGAAUUCCUGGUGUAGCGGUGGAAUGCGCAGAUAUCAGGAGGAACACCGAUGGCGAAAGGCAGGGUCACCUGGG
rnacentral:rRNA from 1 species